rnacentral:rRNA from 1 species
AUUGGACGCUGGCGGCAGGCCUAACACAUGCAAGUCGAGCGGGGUUUUCGGACCUAGCGGCGGACGGGUGAGUAAUGCGUAGGAAGCUGCCCGAUAGAGGGGGAUACCAGUUGGAAACGACUGUUAAUACCGCAUAAUGUCUACGGACCAAAGUGUGGGACCUUCGGGCCACAUGCUAUCGGAUGCGCCUACGUGGGAUUAGCUAGUUGGUGAGGUAAUGGCUCACCAAGGCGACGAUCUCUAGCUGGUUUGAGAGGAUGAUCAGCCACACUGGAACUGAGACACGGUCCAGACUCCUACGGGAGGCAGCAGUGGGGAAUAUUGGACAAUGGGCGCAAGCCUGAUCCAGCCAUGCCGCGUGUGUGAAGAAGGCCUUCGGGUUGUAAAGCACUUUCAGCGAGGAGGAAGGGUUGUGUGUUAAUAGUACACAGCUUUGACGUUACUCGCAGAGGAAGCACCGGCUAACUCUGUGCCAGCCGCCGCCGUAACAC